GGCAUACUAACUUAAAAUUUGCGAGGGAUCGUUCUACUUCUAACAUCACAGCAUGCAAAAAGUAAAACAUAAACAGAAUAGCAUUCACACAGCUUGUGACACAGUAUGGCCCGUUUUCAUAUGGUGAUGUCCAUCUCCAUAGAACCUGUUCACCAUUGUGAUCUCCAUCUCCAUGUUCCAUGUGCGCCAUCCUCCUGGUGAUGAGUCCUCCAAGAACUAGAGCAUGCUAUUACGCCUAAUAGCUAGUAAAGAAUCUAGUAAUGAAGAUUACAUAGUUGCUUGGAUCAUCACAGAUU
rnacentral:lncRNA from 1 species